rnacentral:rRNA from 1 species
CACGGGGGGAGCAAGCGUUGUUCGGAUUUACUGGGCGUAAAGGGCGCGUAGGCGGUCAGCACAAGUCAGUUGUGAAAUCUCCGGGCUUAACUCGGAAAGGUCAACUGAUACUGUGCGACUAGAGUGCAGAAGGGGCAACUGGAAUUCUCGGUGUAGCGGUGAAAUGCGUAGAUAUCGAGAGGAACACCUGCGGCGAAGGCGGGUUGCUGGGCUGACACUGACGCUGAUGCGCGAAAGCCAGGGGAGCGAACGGG